UACGGAGGGGGCUAGCGUUGUUCGGAAUUACUGGGCGUAAAGCGCGCGCAGGCGGCCCUUUAAGUCUACCCGUGAAAUGCCGGAGCUCAACUCCGUGCACGCCGGGGGAUACUGGGGGGCUGGAGACAUGUAGAGGCAAGCGGAAUUCCGGGUGUAGCGGUGGAAUGCGUAGAGAUCCGGAAGAACACCUGAGGCGAAGGCGGCUUGCUGGGCAUGAUCUGACGCUGAGGCGCGAAAGCGUGGGGAGCAAACAGG
rnacentral:rRNA from 1 species